GAUGAACGCUGGCGGCGUGCCUAAUACAUGCAAGUCGAACGCAUUGAGAGAAGUGCUUGCACCUUUCAAUUUGAGUGGCGAACGGGUGAGUAACACGUGGGCAACCUACCUGAUAGCGGGGGAUAACGAGUGGAAACAUUCGCUAAUACCGCAUAACAAUAGAGAAGGCAUCUUCUUUAUUUAAAAGGCGCUUUCAAGCGUCACUAUCAGAUGGGCCCGCGGUGCAUUAGUUAGUUGGUGGGGUGAAGGCCUACCAAGACGAUGAUGCAUAGCCGAGUUGAGAGAGUGAUCGGCCACAUUGGGACUGAGACACGGCCCAAACUCCUACGGGAGGCUGCAGUAGGGAAUCUUCCACAAUGGACGAAAGUCUGAUGGAGCAACGCCGCGUGUGUGAUGAAGGCUUUCGGGUCGUAAAGCACUGCUGUAUGGGAAGAAAUGCUAGGCUAGGAAAUGAGCUUAGUUUAACGGUACCAUACCAGAAAGGGACGGCUAAAUACGUGCCAGCCGCCGCCGUAA
rnacentral:rRNA from 1 species